AAGUGCUCCACCCCAGGGCCCUGAUCAUUCAUACAUAUAAAAUGCAAAAAUAACACAUUUCCCUGGGGCUAGCCUUCUGCAUUACACAAAGUGGAAACCUUGCACAAUGUGGGGAGAUACAUAGAUUCCAUCCAGCACAAUUCCCUGCUUUCGGUCACAACGUGUACACAUAAACUGCCACACACACUGGCAAACAUGCAGAUACAAAUACACAGUUACACACAGGGACACACAGAUACAAACACUGAAAUACAUACAGAUAAACAGACACAAAGAUACAAACACUGACAUACAUACAGAUA